rnacentral:rRNA from 1 species
GUUCCUACGGGAGGCAGCAGUGGGGAAUAUUGCACAAUGGGGGGAACCCUGAUGCAGCGACGCCGCGUGGGUGAGGAAGUACUUCGGUAUGUAAAGCCCUAUCAGCAGGGAAGAAAAUGACGGUACCUGACUAAGAAGCCCCGGCUAACUACGUGCCAGCAGCCGCGGUAAUACGUAGGGGGCAAGCGUUAUCCGGAUUUACUGGGUGUAAAGGGAGCGUAGACGGCAGCGCAAGUCUGGAGUGAAAUGCCGGGGCUCAACCCCGGAACUGCUUUGGAAACUGUGCGGCUCGAGUGCGGGAGAGG